GUUGGGCACUCUAGCGAGACUGCCGGUAAUAAACCGGAGGAAGGUGGGGAUGACGUCAAAUCAUCAUGCCCCUUAUGACCUGGGCUACACACGUGCUACAAUGGUUGGUACAACGAGUUGCGAGUCGGUGACGGCGAGCUAAUCUCUUAAAGCCAAUCUCAGUUCGGAUUGUAGGCUGCAACUCGCCUACAUGAAGUCGGAAUCGCUAGUAACCGCGGAUCAGCACGCCGCGGUAAAUACGUUCCCGGGCCUU
rnacentral:rRNA from 1 species